UACAGAGGUCCCGAGCGUUAGGCGGAAUCACUGGGCUUAAAGCGUGUGUAGGCGGGCCGUUAAGUACCUUGUGAAAUCCCCCGGCUCAACCGGGGAACUGCUGGGUAUACUGGCGGCCUUGAGCGGCCUAGGGGCAGAUGGAACAGACGGUGGAGCGGUGAAAUGCGUAGAUAUCGGGAGGAACACCAGUGGCGAAGGCGGCACCCUGGACCAGCACUGACACUGAGGCACGAAAGCGUGGGGAGCAAACAGG
rnacentral:rRNA from 1 species